rnacentral:rRNA from 1 species
AUGAACGCUAGCAGUAUGCCUUACACAUGCAAGUUAAACAAUAUUUGUAACGUAUCGGUGAGUAAUAUUUAAGAAUCUACAUUACAACUUAGUUUUAAAAAUAACUAAUAAUCAAAGAUUUAUCGUUGUAAGAUGAGCUUAAAAAAUAUUAUGGUUGUUGGUAGGGUAAUGGCCUACCAAGCCUAUGAUGUUUAGCUAUUUUGAGAGAAAGAAUAGCCACAUUGGGAUUGAAAGAACGCCCAAACUCCAUCUUGGAGGCAGCAGUGGGGAAUAUUGGACAAUGAGAGAAAUCUUGAUCCUACAAUACUGCGUGAGUGAUGAAGACUUUUAUAGUUGUAAAGCUCUUUCAUUAGGGAAGAUAAUGACGGUACCUAAAGAAGAAGUCCCGGCCAACUUCGU